rnacentral:lncRNA from 1 species
CCCCCACUCCAAAUCAAAAUGCCUUUUCCUUUCCUUUUUUUUCCCCCUAACUUUUGCCAGAGCAACUUGGUGUGGUCUCGGGCCCUGACACCGCGAUCCGCACCCCGGAAUCUAGUUUUUUCGACUCCUGCCCAGCAAAAGCCGAAACCAACGUGCCCUGGCCGCCUGCUCCUCGGAGGGAGGGAGGGGACAGCCAACUUUACUUCGGGGAGGUGGGAACUCUCUGGGGACUGUCCUCUGCUGCUUUUCCGGACGUCCCCAGCGCCCAGCCCCGGGAGGCUGGCGCCGGGCCCCCUGCCCGUGCCAGCGCGGCUCGGGGCGCACGUGGAGCGGCGAGGCGCGGCGGGCGCGGACGGGCGCGCGGGCGGCCUGCUCUCCGCGCGGCAUUGAUAUCGGGGUCACGCAGCGAGUCAGUUUCCCGAACGGGCUUUCCGGGGUGGGGGCGGGGUGGCUGCCUUUCCUCCCGCCUCGUGAAUUUCCCGGCCCCAAGCGCCAGGGAGGUGGGGGCCGCCUCGCCCCCAUCCCACCUCCUCGCCUAACACGCCCCUCUCGGGAGCCACGGCUGGGGGCUGGGGAGGUAGCCCAGCCCCUCCGCCUCGGGGGGCGGCAGCGGCGGCGGAUCGCAGCCCAGACAAGCGUCUAGCGCCGGGUCCCGGGAGAGCCGCGCGCUGUCCCCGCCGCCACUUCCCCACUCGCGUUCCCACCCGCCCCCCAGGAAGCCGCCCCGCACCCCUUCAGCCCCGGGGGCCUGGGCACCCACCUGCCGCGGCCCCUGCCCUGGCCCGGGGGAGGGGUGCCAUGCAGAGGAGAGGGGGAGACUCACCGCCGCUGCCACCUCCCGGGGUGCAGGGGGGUCCCCCGGGGCUGCGCCUUCCAGGGCUCCGGGGAGGCGUGCGCGGGGCGGGGGCGCCCCGCGGGCCCUGCAGCCUCCGCCUCGAUUGGAGCCCAGCCUCAAAUCCUCCACCGGGGCCGGGGGGAGACUUCCAGAAAAAAAUCCCACCCCUCCCCAGAUAAGAUCCAAGUGAUGGGCGGGGGGCGUAGCAAAUCCUUUUCUGCAGAGCGCGCGGAGCCGACGGGCUGCACCCGGCCUCCACGGUCC